rnacentral:rRNA from 1 species
UCUUUGGUCAUGAUCAUUCCUUCUUGAUUAUGAUUUAUCCUUUGAAUAAGCACAGCAAGAUUAUCCUCGAACGUCUUGGCUUGUGCUUUAGUGGUUGGUCCCACCUUCAUCCGUAACGGGCGAAAUCACAUCACUUGCAUCUGAUUAGCUAGUUGGUGAGGCAAUAGCUUACUAAGGCGAUGAUCAGUAGCUGGUCCAAGAGGAUGAUCAGCCAUACUGGGACUGAGACACGACCCAAACUCCUAUGGAGGCAACAAUGGGGAAUUUUCUGCAAUGGAGGAGAGCCUGACAGAACAAUGCCGCAUGGAGAUAGGAGGCCUACGGGUCGUAAACUUCUUUUCCCAGAGAAGAAAUAAUGAUGGUAUAUGGGGAAUAAGCACCUACUAACUUUGUGCCAGCAGCCGCUGUAAUACAAAGGAUGCAAGCAUUAUCCGAAAUGAUCGGACGAAAAGGAUUUGUAAGUGGCUUUUUAAGUCCGCCGUCAAAUCCCAAGGCUCAACCCUAGAUAGGCGGUGGAAAAAUCCAAGCUAGAUUAUGGUAGGGGCAGAGGGAAUUUCGGGUGGAGCGGUGAAAUGAGUAGAGGUAAAAAAGAACACCAACAGUGAAAGCACUCUGCUGGGCCAACACUGACACUGAGAGAUGAAAGCUAGGGGAAAGAAUGGGAUUAGAUACCUUGAUAGUCCUAGCCGUAAAUGAUGGGUACUUGGCGCUGUGGGUAUUGACCCAUGUAGUGUUGUAGCUAACGCAUUAAGUAUCCUACCUGGGGAGUACAUUCACAAGAAUGAAACUUAAAGGAAUUGAUGGGGCCUCGCAUAAGCGGUGGAGCAUGUGGUUUAAUUCGAUGCAAAGCAAAGAACCUUACUAGAGCUUGACAUGCCAUGAGUCCUCUUGAAAGAGAGGGAUGCCUUCGGGAAAGUGGAGACAUGUGGUGUAUGGCUGUCUGCAGCUCGUGCUAUAAGGUGUUAGGUUAAGUCUUGCUACGAGUAUAACCCUCGUGUGUAGUUGCCACCGUUGAGUUUGGAACCCUGAGCAGAUUGCCGGUGAUAAGCCGGAGGAAGGUAAGGAUGAUGUCAAGUCAUCGCGUCCUUUAUGCCCUGGGCGACGCACGUGCUACAAUGNAGGAUGAUGUUAAGUCAUCGCGUCCUUUAUGCCCUGGGCGACGCACGUGCUACAAUGGCCAAGACAAAGGGUCGUGAUCCCGCGAGGGUGAGCUAACUUUGAAACCCAUCCCUAGUUCAGAUUGUAGGCUGCAACUCAUCUUCAUGAAGCCGAAAUCGCUAGUAAUCACCAGUUAGCUAUACGGUGGUGAAUUCGUUCCCGGCCCAUGUACACACCGCCCAUCGCACUAUAGGAGCUGGCCAUGUUUCGAAGUCAUUACCUUAACCGCAAGGAGGGGGAUACCGAAUGCAGGGCUAGUGACUAGAGUAAAGUUGUAACAAGGUAGACGUACCAGAAGGUGCGGCUG